rnacentral:rRNA from 1 species
GAUGAACGCUGGCGGCGUGCCUAAUACAUGCCAGUCGAGCGAACAGAUGAGGAGCUUGCUCCUCUGACGUUAGCGGCGGACGGGUGAGUAACACGUGGAUAACCUACCUAUAAGACUGGGAUAACUUCGGGAAACCGGAGCUAAUACCGGAUAAUAUAUUGAACCGCAUGGUUCAAUAGUUAAAGACGGUUUUGCUGUCACUUAUAGAUGGAUCCGCGCCGCAUUAGCUAGUUGGUAAGGUAACGGCUUACCAAGGCAACGAUGCGUAGCCGACCUGAGAGGGUGAUCGGCCACACUGGAACUGAGAAACGGUCCAGACUCCUACGGGAGGCAGCAGUAGGGAAUCUUCCGCAAUGGGCGAAAGCCUGACGGAGCAACGCCGCGUGAGUGAUGAAGGUCUUCGGAUCGUAAAACUCUGUUAUUAGGGAAGAACAAAUGUGUAAGUAACUAUGCACGUCUUGACGGUACCUAAUCAGAAAGCCACGGCUAACUACGUG